UGACCUAUUACUUAUAGUUUAAGAAAAAUAGACCAAAACACAAAAACUUAACACUGUGCAAUGAACCGUGAAAAUGAGGUCACGGUCAAACAAAACCUGCGCGAUUGACAUAAAGAUCAUAAAAUAUUUCCAUACACCAAAUAUAGAUGAUCUAUGGCAUAUAGUAUUAGAUAAAAAGACCAAAACUCAAAAACUUAACUUUGACCACUGACCCAUGAAAAUGAGGUCAAGGUCACAUGACAUGUGCCCACUAGAUAGGUACACCUUACAAUCAUUCCAUACAACAAAUAUAGUAGACCUAUUGCAUAUAGUAUGAGAAAAACAGACCAAAACACAAAAAUCUAACUAUAACCACUGAACCAUGAAAAUGAGGUCAAGGUCAGAUGACACCUGCCAGUUGGACAUGUACACCUUACAGUCCUUCCAUACACCGAAUAUACUAGCCCUAUUGCUUGUAGUAUCUGAGAUAUGGACUUGACCACCAAAACUUAACA
rnacentral:lncRNA from 1 species